UACGUAGGGGGCUAGCGUUAUCCGGAAUUACUGGGCGUAAAGGGUGCGUAGGUGGUUUCUUAAGUCAGAGGUGAAAGGCUACGGCUCAACCGUAGUAAGCCUUUGAAACUGAGAAACUUGAGUGCAGGAGAGGAGAGUGGAACUCCAUGUGUAGCGGUGAAAUGCGUAGAUAUAUGGAAGAACACCAGUGGCGAAAGCGGCUCUCUGGUCUGUAACUGACGCUGAGGCACGAAAGCAUGGGGAUCAAACAGG
rnacentral:rRNA from 1 species